GCCGGUUGCUUGGAUAAUUGUCAAAUUUACGAAGAUACCACCUGUGUGUUUCUGCUGCUGCAAAUACUAGAUUUGCCACCACAAAUGCAAAAAGGAACCAAAUGGUAAGGUCUGCUCCUCCACUAGCAACAACCAUACCAGCAUAUAUAAUAAUCUCAGCCAGAUAGUGCGGAGAUGAAACAAUCUCAAACCAAUCACCGUAAGGGAUAACAUAUUCAUCAAUUCCUCUUCCA
rnacentral:misc_RNA from 1 species